rnacentral:rRNA from 1 species
CUGAGUACAUGCCGUAUUAAAGGCGAAACCGCAAAUGGCUCAUUAUAUCAGUUAUGGUUCACAAGGUUGUUCCUUACUACUUGGAUAACUGUGGCAAUUCUAGAGCUAAUACAUGCAACAGAGCUCCGACCGCAAGGGACGAGCGCUUUUAUUAGACCAAAAUCAAACGGAAAUUUCCGUUUGUGGUGACUCUGGAUAACAUUGCCUGAUCGCACGGGCUUGUCCCGGCGACGUAUCUUUCAAGUGUCUGCCUUAUCAACUGUCGAUGGUAGGUCAAGCGCCUACCAUGGUUGUAACGGGUGACGGGGGAUCAGGGUUCGAUCCCGGAGAGGGAGCCUGAGAAACGGCUACCACAUCCAAGGAAGGCAGCAGGCGCGCAAAUUACCCACUCCCGGCACGGGGAGGUAGUGACGAAAAAUAACAAUACAAGACUCUUUUGAGACCUUGUAAUUGGAAUGAGUACACUCUAAGUCCUUUAACGAGGAUCCAUUGGAAGACAAGUCCGGUGCCAGCACCUGCGGUAACUCCAGCUCCAAUAGCGUAUAUUAAAGUUGUUGCGGUUAAAAAGCUCGUAGUUGGAUCUCAGUUACGGACGGGUGGUCUACCUACCGGUAUAACUGCCCGGUCCGAACAAUGCAGUCGGCUUCCCUUGAUGAUCUUUACCGGUUGUCUUGGGAGGAUCUGACAAGUUUACUUUGAGAAAAUUAGAGUGCUCAAAGCAUGCGUGAUGCAGGAAUAAUGGUGCAUGGAAUAAUGGAAUAGGACCUCGGUUCUGUUUUGUUGGUUUUCGGAAGGCGAGGAAAUGAUUAAAAGGGACUAAAGGGGGCAUUCGUACUGCGGCGCUAGAGGUGAAAUUCUUGGACCGCCGCAAGAACAAACUACACCCGAAAGCAUUUGCCCAGAAUGUU